GCCACUGGAAAGUGUUGGUUUUGUAAAUCAUGAAGAGUUCUAUACUGAAGUGUCUGGAGGACGACAGUACAUACAACAGGGAAUAUCAAAUGGGCUACCUGAUGUUGAUUCGGUUUUUUAUUCUACAAGGAAGGUUGGAUCAGAAGCACUUGAUAUUAUAUUUGAUGAACAUGCCCCAAAAGUGGCAUUGCCUCAAAGUCUAAUGGUGCCAAUCAAUUCAUUCAACACGUUGUUUCACUAUAAUGCAUUUUGGUCAUUGAUGCUUCCAGUGUCAGUGAGCACCAUGGCUUCUGAUGUCUUAAGAGGUUACUGGGCACAACGUUUGUUGUGGGAAAUCGGUGGAUUUGUUGUGGUAUAUCCUCCUUCGGUACACAGAGAUGACAAAGUUGAAGCAUACCCAUUUUCAGAGGAAAAAGAUUUGCAUGUAAAUGUGGGUCGCUUGAUCAAAUUUUUAGUUUCUUGGAGAUCUGAAAAACAAGGGCUGUAUGAGAAAAUCUUAGAAUUGAGCCAUACAAUGGCACUUGAGGGGUUUUGGAACGAGAAUGAUGUCAAAUUUACAGCUGCAUGGUUGCAUGACUUGGCUGCUGUAGGGUAUCAGCAGCCAAGACUUCUGGCAGUACAAUUGGAUCUGCAAAAGGCAACUGUUCAACGUGGAGAUAAAAAGGAAUUCGUCCCCCGAAAACUACCUUCUGUACAUCUCGGGGUUGAGGAAUCAGGUACAGUGAAUUAUGAAAUCGGGAACUUGAUAAGGUGGAGGAAGAAUUUUGGCAAUGUUGUGCUAGUUAUGUUUGUCACUGGGCCCGUGCAACAAACUGCAUUAGAAUGGAGAUUGUUAUAUGGCAGGGUGUUCAAAACUGUGGUUAUUCUGUCAACACAAGCUGAUGCAGAUCUUGCUGUUGACCAAGGACAGUUGGAUCAAGUAUACAAGUAUCUCCCAAGGAUAUUUGAAAGAUUCAAUAGCACAGAUGGAUUUCUCUUCCUACAGGACAAUACCAUUUUGAACUACUGGAACCUUCUGCAAGCAGACAAAUCUAAGUUGUGGAUCGCCAAUAAGGUGCCUACAUCUCGAAACAUGAUCAACGGAAAGGACUCUUCAUGGUUCCUAAAGCAAGCAGAAUUGGUGAAGAAAGUGGUAGGCACAAUGCCCGUUCACCUCCAAGUCAACUACAAGGAGAGUGGUCCAACUGACCAGAGCAUCGCCUUGUGCGGCUCUGAGGUGUUCUAUGUUCCUCGACGUUUCGUUCAGGACUUUGUUGAUCUAGUAGACUUAGUCGGUGAUCUUGAUAUACACCAGAAAAUUGCUGUACCUAUGUUCUUCAUGGCCAUGGAUUUACCCCAGAAAAUUGCUGUACCUAUGUUCUUCAUGGCCAUGGAUUUACCUCAGAAUUUUGAUACCUUGCUGAAUAAAAUGGUUUAUAAGACAGGAGCAUCAUCUACCAAUUCGUUGAAACUGUAUUCUGCUCAAGUACCAGCUGUGCACCCAUUGGCUGUUUCCACUGAAUCUGAAUUUAUAAAGUUGAUAAGACUCAUGGCAGCAGGUGACCCUUUGCUGAUGGAAUUGGUUUAAGAUCUCAUGUUAUUGUGAAAAUAUUAGAAGUUGUAGAACAUAACAUCAUGUACAAUAGAGUUACUCUUCCAACUGCUCAUUCCCACCUUGGAGGAAAAAGAAAAAAGGUAGAGUGUAUAGUGAAUCUUGUAGCUCUUUUUUCAGAGAUGGCUUUUAAGCACUUUCUAUCAGUCAUUCAAGUGUGUAUUCUUAUAACAACUGCUUAUUCCUCUGUUUGUCAUCCACCUGAUACACCUUGAC
rnacentral:misc_RNA from 1 species